UACGUAGGGGGCAAGCGUUGUCCGGAAUCAUUGGGCGUAAAGCGUGCGCAGGCGGUUCGUUGUGUCUGAUGUGAAAGCCCCGGGCUCAACCUGGGAAUGGCAUUGGAAACUGGCGAGCUAGAGUGUGGCAGAGGGGGGUGGAAUUCCGCGUGUAGCAGUGAAAUGCGUAGAGAUGCGGAGGAACACCGAUGGCGAAGGCAGCCCCCUGGGCUGACACUGACGCCUCAGGCACGAAAGCGUGGGGAGCAAACAGG
rnacentral:rRNA from 1 species